ACCAUGGGCUCUCAUUUCAUGGGAAGCACUGUUAACUGUCAACAAAUUGCCUCCUCGGGAGAGGGGGCCCCAGUCGACAUCUCAGGACCCUCAAAAAUAAUUAAUGAGGCCCAGAAUAAGGAGCUGGGUAAUCUACGUACCAUGGUUUUGCAAAAUAGAAUGGCUCUAGAUCUCUUAACAGCAUCCCAGGGGGGGGUAUGUAAAUGAGUACUGCUAUGUCUACUCUCCAAGGGUUAAAAAUUGCCAUGACUUCAGAUUAUGUUCCCGACACAACUUGGGGUUGGAUGAUGGGUCUGUUCGGCUGGGUAACUCCUUUCCUUACUAUGAUAAUUCCUGUAUGUAUUAUUUUCCUUCUUAUUUGUUGUUGUGGUCCUUUUCUCUUGCAAUGUUUAAUGAAUCGAAUCUAUGCCACAAUGGACCGUAUGAUGGGUCAACGAUAUGAUAAGAUUCCUCUGUGUUAGGCCUUUGGCCUAAAAGAGGGGACUGAGAGAACAUUUUGUCCUCUUUUAAGUGUGCUUGCAUGAGAAGCAGAAGUGUCUGUGGUUUUUUGUGUGUGUGUGCGCAUCGGAGGUCUGAAGGUCAACGUCUGGUUUCAGUCUUGCAGGUGUUAGAAAUAUGAGACCAUGGUCUGGUUUCAUUUCGCAGCUUCACCCACGCUGGAAAAUUCCACUAUGCUCAGAUAUGAAAUAUGCUGAUUCAUGUUAAGAGAAAAUGCUGUAUGACUAGCCCAUAUUUGGAGUGCCUUUCUGCUAUCAGCCCCUGUGUAUAAA
ensembl:processed_transcript